rnacentral:rRNA from 1 species
GGGACCUGCGGAAGGAUCAUUACCGAGUUUUCGAGCUCCGGCUCGACUCUCCCACCCUUUGUGAACGUACCUCUGUUGCUUUGGCGGCUCCGGCCGCCAAAGGACCUUCAAACUCCAGUCAGUAAACGCAGACGUCUGAUAAACAAGUUAAUAAACUAAAACUUUCAACAACGGAUCUCUUGGUUCUGGCAUCGAUGAAGAACGCAGCGAAAUGCGAUAAGUAAUGUGAAUUGCAGAAUUCAGUGAAUCAUCGAAUCUUUGAACGCACAUUGCGCCCCUUGGUAUUCCGGGGGGCAUGCCUGUUCGAGCGUCAUUACAACCCUCAAGCUCUGCUUGGUAUUGGGCACCGUCCUCACUGCGGACGCGCCUCAAAGACCUCGGCGGUGGCUGUUCAGCCCUCAAGCGUAGUAGAAUACACCUCGCUUUGGAGCGGUUGGCGUCGCCCGCCGGACGAACCUUCUGAACUUUUCUCAAGGUUGACCUCGGAUCAGGUAGGGAUACCCGCUGAACUUAAGCAUAUCAAAGGCCGGAGGAA